rfam:Canis lupus familiaris chromosome 3, whole genome shotgun sequence.
GGGAGCGCAGGGUCCUGGGCUGUGUCCCGGGGCUCUGGGCUCCGGGGCCUGCGCUGCUGCAAUCGCGCUCCCGGGCGCGGCUCCC